UACGGCCAUAUUAUGUUUAAACACCGGUUCUCGUAUGAUCACUGAAGUUAAGCAAUGUCAAGCUUGGUCAAUACCUAGAUGUGCGACCAUUUGGAAAUACUGUGCGCUGUAA